GUACUGAGUGGCGGGGCGGGGGAAGCCCUUCCACCGGCUGCCCGUCCUGGCCGGGGGGUCGGUCAGAUGAUGGAGGACGGCCGGGUCCGGUCCCCACGCUAAAUAUUUUCAAGGGAUGGGACCCGAGAUUCGAACCAGACUGGAAAGCCGAAGUGUUUCCACGCGGUUAAUCCGGCCGACGGUAAUGGACCAUUCGUAUCUAGAUAGAAUGCGUUGUUAAGGCUUCUUUGGUGGUUAAUGGUAGUGUAAGGUAUAAGUCGGCUAGCAAAAAUUACUACCUGUAUCGUUCCAUAUCUGGAUACAACUCGGAUACGCCUAUCGAUAUAUAUCGAUGGAUACGUCGUAUAGGUAGAUCAGGUGGUUAAUCGAACAAUGGUACGGUAACAUGUUUUUGUUAACAGGCCACAUAACUUUCCAUUCUGUAAGAAUUCUAAGUGACGGGCGAAAUCGGCCCUUUCACCGGUCGCCCACUCCAUAUUUAUGGCGGAAACGGAGGGAUGGGCCGGAACAAAAAAUAAAUAAAAAAAUAAAAAUAAAUAAAAUAAAUAAAUAUUUCCAAAGGGACACGAGACUCGAAUCCACGUCUUCCAGAGUGGAAAAUCCAAGCGUUUCCAGACUUCCGAUCCGGCCUUGUACCUAGAUAGGUUGUCGGUAGAAUAAAUACCAUCAAAUAUGUUUUUGUUACUUUAAGGAGGAGUGAUGGCGCGGGACAUAAAGAUCCCCCUAAAAAAUAUCAGUAGGACCUUUUAAAAAGUUUACUGAAUAUCGGAUUUAUUUAUUAUUCUUAACCAGAAUAUAAGGCGCGUAACCAACGAUAGGGAGAAAAACGUUAUGGGGAAUGUUACUUCGGUAAUUGAUUCUGGUCAAGGACGUAUGGAAAAAUAAUAGGUGGAAAAUGUGGUAGGCGAUGUUAAAAGUGUUUUUGUCGAUCUUUAAAACUUUAUACCGAAAAUCAGGGUUUAUCACAUCUUGGAUCAACGUUUAAGAAAUAGGAAGACCACCAGCCCGCCUCCACCAAUUCCAUACUUCGGUGCGCCGGCAAUUAACCUUUGGCCCAAAGAAAUCAGAAAAAUCUAUUAGUCGAGGUUUUUUCGAGGCACAUAAUUUUGGCCCACCACGGCCACCGGCUAUCAACAUUUAAUCGGUAAUGGCUAAAUCGGAGGGAGUUUGGUUGUAGUAGGCGAUAAACGAAGGAGAUUUCGCUUCCGUAUUUUUUCGGUCGACUAUGGCCACACCGGAAUGGGCGUAGAGGAGGGAAACGGUCGAUGGGUGACAUCCCACUAUCCGGCCGUUAACGUGGCUAAAUGGAUCACCAUCGACUCCCGAGCCUGGGCCGGUUAAGAUAAGUCGACGGUUAGCCAGGCGCUAACCAGGUUUGGGGCCGGCUCCGGUUGGGCUGAAUGGGACGAGUUUGAACGGUGACCGCUGCCGGCGGCGUUUUUAAAUGGACGAGUUGUAGAGGGAUGGCAAAGUGCAGAGAAGGAAACGGUGAAUGUUUGAUCGACGGGGAUAUAAGGGAGAAGCCAGAAACCCGCCCAUAAAAUCUCCAACCGGCAGAUUUAUUAGCCACAUUUAUC
rnacentral:lncRNA from 1 species